rnacentral:rRNA from 1 species
GAACGCUGGCGGCGUGCUUAACACAUGCAAGUCGAACGGAAAGGCCUCUUCGGAGGUACUCGAGUGGCGAACGGGUGAGUAACACGUGGGUGAUCUGCCCUGCGCUCUGGGAUAAGCCUGGGAAACUGGGUCUAAUACCGGAUAGGACCAUGCUUUAGUGUGUGUGGUGGAAAGUUUUUCGGUGUAGGAUGAGCCCGCGGCCUAUCAGCUUGUUGGUGGGGUAAUGGCCUACCAAGGCGGCGACGGGUAGCCGGACUGAGAGGUUGGUCGGCCACAUUGGGACUGAGAUACGGCCCAGACUCCUACGGGAGGCAGCAGUGGGGAAUAUUGCACAAUGGGCGCAAGCCUGAUGCAGCGACGCCGCGUGGGGGAUGACGGCCUUCGGGUUGUAAACUCCUUUCGCCAGGGACGAAGCGUUUUGUGACGGUACCUGGAGAAGAAGCACCGGCUAACUACGUGCCAGCAGCCGCGGUAAUACGUAGGGUGCAAGCGUUGUCCGGAAUUACUGGGCGUAAAGAGCUCGUAGGUGGUUUGUCACGUCGUCUGUGAAAUUCCACAGCUUAACUGUGGGCGUGCAGGCGAUACGGGCUGACUUGAGUACUGUAGGGGUAACUGGAAUUCCUGGUGUAGCGGUGAAAUGCGCAGAUAUCAGGAGGAACACCGAUGGCGAAGGCAGGUUACUGGGCAGUUACUGACGCUGAGGAGCGAAAGCAUGGGUAGCAAACAGGAUUAGAUACCCUGGUAGUCCAUGCCGUAAACGGUGGGCGCUAGGUGUAGGGACCUUUUGGGGUUUCUGUGCCGUAGCUAACGCAUUAAGCGCCCCGCCUGGGGAGUACGGCCGCAAGGCUA